rnacentral:lncRNA from 1 species
CUCUUGCUUAACAUUCCUCAGUUAUUCCCUAGUGGACACAGAAUAAAGUCUAGCUUCUUAGCAUGUUACUUGGGCUCCUUCAGUGCCAGUCCCCACAAAUUCCUCACUCAUCUUGCAGAAGCUCCCAGUUUUCAAUAUUCUCCUAAAUGCUGUGGAACCUCUGUCUAUGCAGGAUUCUAAAGAUGAGGAAAAUUAGUCCCUUAAGACUCAGCUUAAGCAUUGCCCCUUGUGCCUUUACUGUUAGUUUGCCCCUCUGUUCUUAAGAGUUUAUUCCUGGCAUUGCUCUUAAGGGAAGGAAGUUUGGCAGGGCCAAGAGUCCUAAACGUUAGACCUUUCUCUCUAAACACUAACAACAUUAAAACUCCAUUCAAGAAGGAGCAAAAGAAGCCAUCAUCUAGAAACAAUGUUGAUAACCACAGUUCCUGAACUUGGGCUUGUUAAAAGACUUUAUCUCCAUGAGUAUACUGAAACACAUAUUUAGUUUAUCUCCUAUUAUCAAGAAAGAAAUAUUAAAACUUCACUGUUGAGGAUCACUCUGAAUAUGAAAGUGCUCAAGACAAUCAAUCAGGUCUCGAGAUCUAGAAAUUAGUAUAAGUACUGAGUGCUAGGGGAAAAAAAUUAUACUCUUCAAACUACAUCCCUGGGAGUGUUAGUGAUGUCAUAAUUCACUGAGGAUCUAGAAACUACAGGAUGGAUACUUAUAAAAGAUAAGGGAAGUAUAGUGCAUAGGUUGCUGAGAGGUGGAGAGAAAGUUGCUUACUUUUCCUGAGCCUCAACUUUCUGAAAACAUAGAAACACAAUUAGAUGAUGAGUUAUGAGGUGAAGGAGGGGAUGACUCAGCAGCAAUGUGCCAGCUCCAUAGUGACUUCUCCACCAAGCUGGAGAAGGAUUUGCAGCAAUGGUUCCAGAACCAACUGUGUGUAUCUACAGGAUGAAGUGUCACCAACCUGAGGCUUCUCUGUUGUAACUCAGUUGUCUCAGGAACUUCCAUGGUUACUCAGUGUUCUCCCAGCCCCUGUGAGGUCACAUAUGUCUGUGCCCGUGUCUGUGAUGAGUAUAUUUAACCUCAGGGUCAAGACAGAAGAUAUUGGAAGAGAAGGAGAAGCCACUGGCUCAUUUCCCAGUUUUUCCAUUUUUAUUGAAAAAAUAAAAGUAUUUCCUGUAAGAA